rnacentral:rRNA from 1 species
GUGAGGAAUUUUCCGCAAUGGGCGAAAGCCUGACGGAGCAAUGCCGCGUGAAGGAUGAAGGCCUAUGGGUUGUAAACUUCUUUUCUCAGAAAAGAAUUAUGACGGUAUCUGAGGAAUAAGCAUCGGCUAACUCUGUGCCAGCAGCCGCGGUAAGACAGAGGAUGCAAGCGUUAUCCGGAAUGAUUGGGCGUAAAGCGUCUGUAGGUUGUUUAAAAAGUAUUCUGUCAAAGAUUAGGGCUUAACCCUAGAUAGGCAGAAUAAACUUUUAAGCUAGAGUUUGGUAGAGGCAGAGGGAAUUCCCGGUGGAGCGGUGAAAUGCGUAGAUAUCGGGAGGAACACCAAAGGCGAAGGCACUCUGCUGGGCCAAUACUAACACUGAGAGACGAAAGCGAGGGGAGCAAAUGGGAUUAGAUACCCCGGUAGUCC